AAAUCCAUGUUGUGUCAAUUAGCUCCAUUCUUCAAACCUGGAAGGAAAUGUUCGAGUUCCGUAGAAAAACCCUGAAGGGCUGUUGAUCCAAACGCCAGCGUAUGUGAGCCCCUCGGGCAUACAAUUUCUGCUGGAAAACCGUAGACUGGGCCAAAACAGAGUCUGGCUGGAGGCCUGGGGUCAAAGAGCCUGAUGAUGCUGUGGAUACAGGUCAGCCUCUCCGGCCGGAGGAGGUCAGAGGAAAGCAGGAAGGAGUGUGGGGCGGCCCGCAGAGCACAGCCCGUGCGACAGCCAGCGCAGCACAGUGCACAGGGAUGGGGCGGAAGGAAAGCGGGAGAAGCCGCGGUGCAGACGCGCCCGACGCGAGGCCGCGCACAGACAGCACUGCGGACUCCGCGCUCCCGCCCCUGGCUCCCAGCCUGGAAAACGCCGCUUCUCUGAAGCUUGCCUUC
rnacentral:lncRNA from 1 species